UUCACAGCUUUGCCUUUUGGCUUAGAUCAAGUGUAGUAUCUGUUCUUGUGAGUCUCCGAUGGUACACCUGAUCUAAGCCACGUACUGACAACCAUCACAGUUCAGUUUAAUCGCUGAAACUCGACUACGGUCGAUUUACGAUUAUCCUUAUUUUUCGCAAAUGCGAGGUGCUCCCUGAGCUUGCUCACAGUAUCCUCGCACCGUGUCCUUGGCCUUACACUACCGCCUUGUGACGCAAAUACAC
rnacentral:snRNA from 1 species